rnacentral:rRNA from 1 species
GAUGAACGCUGGCGGCGUGCCUCAAACAUGCAAGUCGAGCGGGGCUAUGUAAUAUCGCAAGGUAGAACAUAGCCUAGCGGCGAACGGGUGAGUAACACGUGGGUAACCUGCCUGGAAGACAGGGAUAACGAUUCGAAAGGGUCGCUAAUACCUGAUAAUAUCCUUUCAUCGCAUGGUGAUAGGAAGAAAGGGGAAACCCGCUUUCAGAUGGGCCCGCGUCCCAUCAGCUAGUUGGUAAGGUAAAGGCUUACCAAGGCGACGACGGGUAGCCGGUCUGAGAGGAUGUACGGCCACACUGGGACUGAGAUACGGCCCAGACUCCUACGGGAGGCAGCAGUUGGGAAUCUUAGGCAAUGGACGAAAGUCUGACCUAGCGACGCCGCGUGAGGGAAGAAGGCCUUCGGGUUGUAAACCUCUGUCAUGGGGGAAGAAGUAAGUGACGGUACCCCAAGAGGAAGCCCCUGCUAACUACGUGCCAGCAGCCGCGGUAAGGUACUCUAU